GAAAUGCGAUAAGUAAUGUGAAUUGCAGAAUUCAGUGAAUCAUCGAAUCUUUGAACGCACAUUGCGCCCGCUGGUAUUCCAGCGGGCAUGCCUGUUCGAGCGUCAUUUCAACCCUCAAAACUUCGGUUUUGGUGUUGGAGGACUACGCUGUAAAACGCGUAGCCUCCCAAAUUCAGUGGCGGGCUCGCUAGAAUUUUGAGCGUAGUAAUCUAUACCUCGUUUGUAAAGACUAGUGAUGUUUCUUGCCGUAAAAUCCCCAACUUUCUGAAAAUUGACCUCGGAUCAGGUAGGAAUACCCGCUGAACUUAA
rnacentral:misc_RNA from 1 species